GAGUUUGAUCCUGGCUCAGAGCGAACGCUGGCGGCAGGCCUAACACAUGCAAGUCGAGCGCCCGUAGCAAUACGGGAGCGGCAGACGGGAGAGUAACACGUGGGAACGCGCCCUUCGGUUCGGAAUAACUCAGGGAAACUUGAGCUAAUACCGGAUACGCCCUUACGGGGAAAGAUUUAUUGCCGAAGGAACGGCCCGCGUCCGAUUAGCUUGUUGGUGAGGUAAUGGCUCACCAAGGCGACGAUCGGUAGCUGGUCUGAGAGGAUGACCAGCCUCACUGGGACUGAGACACGGCCCAGACUCCUACGGGAGGCAGCAGUGGGGAAUAUUGGACAAUGGGCGCAAGCCUGAUCCAGCCAUGCCGCGUGGAUGAUGAGGGCCCUA
rnacentral:rRNA from 1 species